UACGGGGGGGGCAAGCGUUGUUCGGAAUUACUGGGCGUAAAGGGCUCGUAGGUGGCCAACUAAGUCAGACGUGAAAUCCCUCGGCUUAACCGGGGAACUGCGUCUGAUACUGGAUGGCUUGAGUGUGGGAGAGGGAUGCGGAAUUCCAGGUGUAGCGGUGAAAUGCGUAGAUAUCGUAAGGAAGACCAGUGGCGAAGGCGGGUCUCUGGACAGAAACUGACGCUGAGGCGCGAAAGCUAGGGGAGCAAACAGG
rnacentral:rRNA from 1 species